ensembl:lncRNA
GCCUCCCACAGUCUUGCUCACUCAGGUCUCAGUCAAAUGAUAAGUAAACAAGAGAAAUCUGUUCACCAUCCCCGAUGUGAUCUGAAAACUACGUGGAUGAGGAAAGAUGCGCAGUAGAAGGCAUCCAGGUCGAGAAGAUCCCCUGGAGUAGGAAAUGGCAACCCAUUCCAGUAUUCUUGCCUGGAGAAUCCCAUGGACAGAGGAGACAGGCGGGCGAUGGUCCAUAGGGUUGUAAAGAGUCGGACACGGCUGAAGCAACUUAGCACGCACAAGCACGUGCAGGACAGAGGUCUCAAGUCCAGGGGAUCAGCCCGCAGUGUGAUCAGGGAGCAAGCCAGGAUUGCUGAUGGAAGGGCAGGAAGAGGUGAAAAGCAAGGCGGUGAUUCCCUUGUCUUCAAGCCCCAGACUUUCCCAGGCCUUCUGCGACUGGGCUGCUGGAAAGACUGUUAGUUUCUGGAUCCGCUCACUUCCCUGGACGUCAUGCUCUGAUACGCCUCUGCUUAAGUUUCAUUCUCUUGAGACAGGUCUGUUAGCCAGGCAAUUAGUACUCUCAGCGUAAGUUAGAGGACUGCAGGGUUCAAGGCCAGAUGGCCCACAGGUUGAACUUGUUUCAGGGUUACUGCGACUCUGGACAGGGUGCCGUUCUCACCGUGGCCUUGACCGGUUCAGACAACACAAUGAGUUUCUUUAAGGCGGUGAGGAAAACGGUGGGGAGAGGGGUUUCAAUUUCCAUCCAUCCACUGGAGACCAGCAGAGGCUCUCAGUUAAUUCCUCUCCCUUGGUAUGCUAACAUAAUGAAGGCUAAAAGCAGGAUCUAUUUAUAUAUUCUAAAAUUAGCAAUAGAAUAGUAGCAGUGGGCCGGCUAGAAAACAAACCUCAGCUUCUUACUAGAGAAGCUGGGGAACCUGGGCCCUGGGCUCAUGGUCCUUAUCACCCCCACCUCCCUCUAGACACCACCCAGCCCGCCCCUUACUCUCAGAGCUGGGCACAGGGAUGGCAUAACUCUCAAGAUCAGAGACAGCUGCAACAAACCCCCUUGACAAGAAAAAAACAGUGUUUUUGUUUUUCUUCGAAAACAGUUCAUGCAUGCGGCAUUUGGAGCCUCUCUAUUUGCAAUCAAAUGGCUGCUCUGCCACUUACUAGAGGUGUACACACUCUGUACUACACUUUUCUCAUCUGUAAAAUGGUCAUAAUAAGAGUUCCUACAUCUUAGGGCAUGGUGACAAUUUUAAGUGAAUUUAAACAUGUUAAGUGCUUAUAACAGUACUUGGUAUAUGAUAGUGUGAAAUAGUGGAAAAGACCCUGAUGCUGGGAAAGACUGAGGGCAAGAGGAGAAGGGGGCGACAGAGGAUGAAAUAGUCGAAUGGCAUCAUUGACUCAAUGGACAUAAGUUUGAGCAAACUCCAGGACACAGUGAAAGACAGGGAAGCCUGGUGUGCAGCAAUUCAUGGGUCACAGAGAGUCGGGCAUGACUGAGGAACAAUGAACAACAGCAAAGUGCCAAAUCAGUGUUCAUGAUGGUAACAACACUUUAAAAAAGGUUCUAAAAUUCAAAUAUUAUAGAUGGGGAUGGAAUGAAAAGUAAAUGUUCCUUUGAGCUUGAUUUGAAAGCUCUUAGUUUUCCUCUCCAGAAACAACCACUGUUACAAGUUAACCAGCUGUCAGCCAAGAGCUAUUUAAAGCAUAUUUGUGUACAAAUAUAGUUAUUUAUACAGAUAUACACAUAACAGAGAGGCUUCUCAGAUCGCAAAGUGGUAAAGAAUUUGCCUAGAUGAAAGAGACUCGGGUUCUAUCCUUGGGUCAGGAAGAUUCCCUGGAGUAGGAAGUGGCAACCUACUUCAAUAUUCUUCCCUGGAAAAGUCCAUGGACAGAGGACUGUGGCGGGUUACAGUCCAUGGCGUUGCAAAGACUGAGCACUCACGCAACUGCACUACACAUGAUGGAGA